rnacentral:rRNA from 1 species
GACUUUGCCGGAUUAGCUGAGAGGUGGUGCAUGGCCGUCGUCAGUUCGUACUGUGAAGCAUCCUGUUAAGUCAGGCAACGAGCGGGACCCACGCCCACAGUUGCCAGCGUACUCUCUGGAGUGACGGGUACACUGUGGGGACCGCCGCUGCUAAAGCGGAGGAAGGAAUGGGCAACGGUAGGUCAGUAUGCCCCGAAUAUCCCGGGCUACACGCGAGCUACAAUGGUUGGUACAAUGGGUAUCUACCCCGAAAGGGGACGGGAAUCUCCUAAAACCAAUCUUAGUUCGGAUUGAGGGCUGCAACUCGCCCCCAUGAAGCUGGAAUCCGUAGUAAUCGCGUUUCAACAGAACGCGGUGAAUACGUCCCUGCUCCUU